CUUCCCCUCUUGCUUUAGGCCUAACACAUGCAAGUCGAACGGCAGCACAGUAAGAGCUUGCUCUUACGGGUGGCGAGUGGCGGACGGGUGAGGAAUACAUCGGAAUCUACUUUUUCGUGGGGGAUAACGUAGGGAAACUUACGCUAAUACCGCAUACGACCUACGGGUGAAAGCAGGGGAUCUUCGGACCUUGCGCGAUUGAAUGAGCCGAUGUCGGAUUAGCUAGUUGGCGGGGUAAAGGCCCACCAAGGCGACGAUCCGUAGCUGGUCUGAGAGGAUGAUCAGGCACAGUGGAAGUGAGACACGGUCCAGACUCCCACAGGUGGGAGCGAUGGGGUAUAAUGGAAGAAUGGGGCGAGGCUGAUCCAGCCAUACCGGGUGGGUGAAACAAGCCUUCAGGUUGGAAAGCCGUUUUGUUGGGAACGAAAAGCAAAAGGUUAAUACCCCGCUGUUCUGACGGGGCCCAAAGGAUAAGGACCGGCUGACUUAGGG
rnacentral:rRNA from 1 species